AGCGCAGCAGAGGCUGCGGAAAAGGCUCCGCACAGGGAAAAGUGGAGGCGGUGGGGUGGGGAGGGGGCUGCCGUUCCAGGCACGAAGCCCCUCGGGCUCUGCCGGGUCCUGUCCAUGCCCAGGGAUCGUCCCAGUGGCUCCUCCUCGGCCAGGGAAGAGCAGCUGGGACAAUCCCGGCAGACAGGGGCAGCUGCUGGGUGCAACAAGAGGGAUGGAAGGGUGUGUUAAUAUGAUAAAAGCUCCUGAAACAGCUCCAUCCUGAGCUCCACUCAGGCAAAACAUCACUGCACCAGCACCCCAGGGAGAGUCUGCAGGCUCGGCCAGAACUCCGACAGUUGGAGAGGGAUUGAAUUCCUCCCUCCCUUCCAGCUCCUACAAAACUCAGCAAGAUUCCCCACAGGAGGCCGGACGUCCCUGCCUGCACAGUGCCCGUGCUUAGUCAUUGCUUUAAAUCCUAAUCUCCACCCCCACAUGACAUCAAAUUCUGAAAUUAUGAUGCAGAUGGAAGGGUUCGACUCCAGGUGAAAAGGGGAGAAAUAACCUUAUAUGAACAAGGAGACAGGAAAUGCAGGUGCAUCCCCGGCAGCACAAAGGGAGGAAGAGGAGAGCUCAUCUCACGCUCCCAAGUCCUGACUGGGAUCCCAGAGCCACAUAUUCAUUUAAUUCAGCUCCAUUUUAAAUUAACCCCAUCCAGCAGCAAAAAUCCUGGCGCUUACCAACAGGAGAGGGACGCUGCCAGGUCCCCAUCCUUGAAAUAUUCACCCACAUUUACGCCGCAUUUUGCACCAGGGAGGGGAAAAGUCUGAUCAAUCUUUCUUUUCUCGAGCCCCAAAUAAUUAAAACCUCAUUCUAAAAAUAAACUCACUGUGGUGGUUCUGCA